GCCUUCAUGGCGUAAUGGUCAGCACGCUGGGCGCGUAUUCCAGAGGUCCGUGGUUCGAAUCCCGGCGGAGGCG
rnacentral:tRNA from 1 species